rnacentral:rRNA from 1 species
AUUGAACGCUGGCGGCAUGCCUUACACAUGCAAGUCGAACGGCAGCACGGGUGCUUGCACCUGGUGGCGAGUGGCGAACGGGUGAGUAAUACAUCGGAACAUGUCCUGUAGUGGGGGAUAGCCCGGCGAAAGCCGGAUUAAUACCGCAUACGAUCUACGGAUGAAAGCGGGGGACCUUCGGGCCUCGCGCUAUAGGGUUGGCCGAUGGCUGAUUAUCUAGUUGGUGGGGUAAAGGCCUACCAAGGCGACGAUCAGUAGCUGGUCUGAGAGGACGACCAGCCACACUGGGACUGAGACACGGCCCAGACUCCUACGGGAGGCAGCAGUGGGGAAUUUUGGACAAUGGGCGAAAGCCUGAUCCAGCAAUGCCGCGUGUGUGAAGAAGGCCUUCGGGUUGUAAAGCACUUUUGUCCGGAAAGAAAUCCUUGGCCCUAAUACGGUCGGGGGAUGACGGUACCGGAAGAAUAAGCACCGGCUAACUACGUG